UUUAAUCAUAAUUUUUUUAUGUGAUAUUUUUAAUUGAUAAUUAUUAUUAGUUAUAAUAAUCGAUAAAUGAAACAAAAAUUGAAUGAACAAAAUGGAAAAAUACUUAUCGCCGUCGUUUCAUUCUUAGCAAAUAUUUUCAACGAAAUUUCGAGAGAAUCAUAUCGUCAUAAUGUUCUCGUAACGGUUCUCCUAACUAACAAAACACGAAUGAACUCUGAACUUAUGACGUAAACAAAACGCAAUGUGGAGGAUUCUAAGGCAAAAGUGUCAGAGACCAACUCGAAGAUUUUCAAAGCGAAUGCAUUUAACGUGGUUACCGCGAAUGCGUUCGUACGUUUAUUUAAAUUUAUUCAUUUAUUUAUUUAUUUUACUUUUCUCUCUCUCUCUCUCUCUCUCUCUCUCUUUUUCUCUAUUUCUUUCUUCAAAGAUCUUUUUCGAUACUCGACCACGUAAAUAUAUAAUAAUUAAGAUAAGUUUUCUCUUUGAGAAAGGUAAUCGAACGCUCUCUAUUAGUAUAUAUGUCGAGUCACACUCGACAUCGUAUACUAAAACAUUGAAUCUGAUCUUCUCUUUGUUCCUUUCUCUCUCUCUCUCUCUCUCUCUCUCUCUCUCUCUUUCUGUUUCUUUCUCCUUUCGAUAAUCUUUCUUCUCGGAAUAAUAAUACGGAACCGAGUCCAACGACCAUACACGAUUUUGAUCACCCGUCCACGUUAGGCAAUAGAAACUUGAAUUUCAAAUGCCAGGUAAAAUAGAUUCGGUCUCGUAUAAGAUAUGAAAAAAAAAAUAAAAAAAAAAAUAAAAAAUAAAAAAAAAAUAAAAGAAAUUGUUAGGACUUUCGAUAGAAUAAAUAAAGAGAUAACGAUAAAAAAAAAAAUAUUUAUUAUUAUUGUCGCCGCCGAUCUAUGCCGUAGGAAGAAAGAAAACUUUAUCGUCGACUGCUCGUCUUGCUUAACCGAACGCUUAACCCGUUAAUUGGCAAUUCACCGAAGAAGCGACAAUGACGGUCCUGCACUGGUGCAAAUUGAAAAAUUUGCUCGUACACUCGCAUCAGCCUGUAGACUGUCAUUGUCCAAUACUGAUCUUUACAUAUACAUACAUACAUACAUACAUAUAUACAUACAUAUAUAUAUAUAUAUAUAUAUAUGUAUAUAUGUAUAUAUGUAUAUAUGUAUAUAUGUAUAUAAACAUAUGUACACAUAUGUAUGUCUAUAUGUAGCGUAGUAAAUAAUUCGAACGAAAAAAUUCAAGUCAUCGUUUGAUUUAUGACGUCGAUCUGACUUCGAUCUAUAUAUUAUAGGGGAAGAAAAAAAAGAAAAAAAAAGAAAAAAAAAAGAAGAAAAAGAUAAUAAAGAAAAAUAUUAUUUCAAAAUAAGAUAUUUAUAUGUAUAUAUGACUUUAGGACAAUUUUAAUAUUUAAUGUAUAAUUCUUUUUUCUUUUUCCAUUUCUUUUUAUUCCUCUUAUUUUCUUUUCUUUUAUUUUAUCGAGAAACUUGUCUAUCUCAUCGAAAUCACAGAAUCCACAAGAGUAACGUAACGGGGAAUUUACCGAGGCUAUAAUUAUAGAAGGAUAAACGUGGGAAUCUAUUAUGUGACGUCUCGAGAAAUUUCCUUUUCAUCUUUGCCACGUGGCAAUGUGCGCAUAUUAAUUAUUUUCAUUUUAAUGAAAGAGGAAGCCUUCGAAUACUUACGUACGAAUAGAAGGAAACAUACAAGAUAAUUUCGAAAGAAUUGGGUAAUAAAUAGAAAAAGAGUAAAAAAAAAACAGAGAGAGAGAGAGAGAGGGGAAAAAAAUUGUUUCGAAAAAGAAAGGCUAUACAAUCAACACGAUCGACGCUAUAAACGAACCGAAUCGAAUCUAACCGAAUCGAACGAAAAACCGAAAGAUUAUUAAUUUACAAAUUCUACCAAUAAUAAUCGUAACAUCCAUCUGUUCGCGGUAUAACGUUAUGGUUAAUUUCGUUCAACGCGAGUAAUAGUCCGGAAAAAGAAUUAUCUAGUCUGCCAUUACUCUCUCUCUCUCGUUCUUUUCUUUUUUUUUUUUUUUUUUUUCAUACGUACACACACGCAUACACAAACAGAGGACAUGUGAGUAAAUUAAAUAAAAAAAAAAAAAAAAACAAAAAAAAAAAAGAAAAGAAAGAAAAAAGGAAAGAAGGAAAGAAAGAAAAGAAAAAUAUUUUCAAAGAGUUCGCAAGGUACGUGCGUGCGGUUGCUUGAGCGCGUAAAAUCGUCGUAGUGACGUUUGACCCUCAUAAAUGUUUCACUCGUGCACCUCGAACCCACGCAAAUUUUACAACGUGCUCCGAGGUGUAUCGAGCAGACCAAACAUCUCAGCGUGAUUUUGUUGGUCAGUUCAACGAAAAAAGAAAAACAAAAAACAGGGAGACUUACGAAAUGAAAGAGAGACGUGCGUCCGGCCGGUUUUCUCGGUCGCAGCAAGCUCGUUCUUAUCGCUUCGUGUCGUUCCUCGCGCCAUGUUGGAUAGAGAGUCGUUGCAAGGCUCGGCAAGCUUCGAAAGAAAGAGCGAGAGAGCGAGAGAAAGAGAAAGAGCGAGAGAGAGAGAGAGAGAGAGAGAAAGAGAAAGAGAAAGAGAGAGAGAGAGAGAGAGAGAGAAAGAGAGAGAGAGAAGCUGAGUCUCUCCAACCCUUUUCAUCCGAUAGCGGGACAAAGAAAAGGCGACGGUGGCGAGCACGGUGGCGAGUCAAACGAUAUAACCAAGUGCUUUUCAACGUAAGCAAGUAAAAAAAAAAAAAAAAAAGAAAAAAGAAAAGAAAAGAAAGAAAAAAUAAAAUAAAAUAAAUUCACGAUUGGUCUCUCUGUUUUUCGUCUUUUUUGCGUUCUAUUUAUUUAUUUAUUUUUUCUUUGUUUUUCGUUUACCUUUCAUUUUUAUUUAUUUAUUUAUUCUUUUUUUCUUUUUUGUCUUUUUUCUUUCAUCUUUUAUUAUUAUAUUUACAACGUAAGAAACACUUAUCGAAUUUGAAUUCAAUUAAUUUUUUGACGUUUGAUCAGAUUGAAAUACAUUUUUUAUAUUAAUAUAAAUUAAUUUUCUUCGUAAUCUACGACAUACGCAUAUAUCAGUGAUUGAAAAGAGAAAAUAAUACGUAUCGUCUUAACGAAUAUAUAAUGUGAUGUCUCUGGCACGUCAUCGAUUCCUAUCUUCUUUAUGAUUAAUAUGUAUAUAUAUAUAUAUAUGUAUAUUUGUUAUAAAUACAUACGUAUACGUACUUUAUUGAAAAGUAUUAAUGCACGACAUAACGUGAAAAAAGAAAAAGAAAAAAAGAAAAAAGAUAGUAAGAAAAUAAUAUUUAAAGCUCAUUCGUAAGACAUUGAUCUUAAAAGAUCGACGAACAAGAAAGAAAGAAAAAAAAAAAAAAAGAAACAACAAAACAAAAAAAUCAACAAUCACGAUACCUAAGAACAUUACAUACAUGACGUCUUUCGUCUAUUAAAUAUCUUCUAAUAAAAUUUUAUGUAUUUUUUCUAAACAAGAUCAAAGAAUGUACUAUGUAAUAUACCACUCCAUAAGAACGUAAGAACUUAGCCGUAAAUACUUAAAGAGAGAGAGAAAAUCCGUACUGUAUGAAGAUUGUUCGAACAAUCACAGUCAAGAGUUAUAAUUCGAUAGAAGCGUUAGAAGUGCAAUAGAGUAUUUCCCACUUGUGAUCUUCCUCUUUUCGUAAGCGUCGGUUCAAGAGAAGAAAAAGAAGAGAAAGAUGAAUAAGAAGAUGAAGAUGAAGAUGAAGAUGAAGAUGAAGAUGAAGAUGAAGAUGAAGAUGAAGAUGAAGAAGAGAAGAAGAAGAAGAAGAAGGUGUCAGGGUCGUGCCGCUUUCAGGGACGUCGACUUCUCAAACUUGCUUACUUCUUUUUCUUCUUCAUCAUCCUCCACUCCUUUUUCUUUCUAUUUUUUUCCCCCUCAUCCCUCCUCUCUCACCCCUCCCCAUUUCCCUCCCCUUUUCCCCUGCUCCCUCGAAAUGGGGGUUGGAAGGAACAAUGUAUUUUCGUUUUUCGUACGGCUAUAUAAUUAUGCCGACCGUACGAGAGAAUCGAUUUAUAACGAGUUCAACUCUCGUCGUUGGAUUGGAAUUUAAAAAGAUGACGACAAAAAGGAAAAAAAAAAAAAAAAAAAAGAAAAAAGAAAAGAAUUAGAAGAAGACAAUUUUUAUGCCAAGACAAUUUUCAUCCCCAAUCCCAUUGGACCCUCGGCAUCCACAUUAUUUCUCCCAAAAAGUAUUUCUAACGAUAAAAGAGUAAAAAUUUAUUAAAGGAAAAACUCGAGUAAGUGUCUCCGACUUUGUUGUUUGUUACGCUCCUGUUCGCAACGUGGGAUGUUGUGAGAGACAGAGACAGAGACAAAUAGACAGGGAGAAAGAACGAGAGAAAGAGAGAGAGAGAGAGAGAGAGAGAGAGAGAGAGAGAGAGAGAGAGAGAGAGAGGGAGGGAGAGAAGGAUAACGACGAGUGCGAGAGUGAUAGACUAACGAUAGGACGUAGAAAAGAGCGAAAGGGUUACAAACGUACCGGGAACGAGACGAACGUGCUGGUCGAAGAUAAACGAACGGUCUAGCCACUAGAAAGCGAGAGAGAGAGAGAGAGAGAGAGAGAGAGAGAGAGAAAGAGAGAAAGAGUCAAAUGACGAAGUGAAUGAACGAGUAUGUCGAAGAAGUAAAGAGAGACAAAGAUGGAUAAGAAGAUAGGAAGAGAGAAAGAGAUAGAUAGAAAGAUAGAUAGAUAGAUAGAAAGAUACAGACAGAGAGAGAGAAAGAGAGAGAGAGAGAGAGAGAGAGAGAGAGAGAGAGAGGGAGGGAGAAGCAAUGAAAGACAAGGACGACGGGAAGGAGACGAAGAGUUUAAGGAAAUCGUGAAUCUCUCGAAGGAAAGCAUCUGGAGUCUGAGAAACACUGCCAGCAGAGAUAAGCGAUGGUCCAGGGCGGUGUGCACGUGUAUGUGUACGUGCACAUGUAUAUACAAGUGUAUGUAUGCAUGUAUAUAUCUGUACGGUUAUGUGUACGUGUAUGUAUGCGUACGUAUAAGAACCAGCCUGGAGAGUCUCGUGCGAGAGAUCCAUGUAAUUCCAAGAAGCGUACAGUCAUCGGAAAAAGUGAAGGGGUUAUUCGACGAAAGAAAAGAGAGAUGAGAAAGGAAGAGAAGAAAAUACGUCUCGGUGGUGGUCUUCGUCGUUGACUUUUCGAGGUAGGGUGGACGGUUGAAGGUGGGGUGGUAGCUGUGGUGGGGCUUGAAUCGGAUUGAGUUGGGUUGGGUUGGAAUGGAUUGGAAUGGAUUGGAUUGGAUUGAAUUGAGUUAGGUUGGGUUGGGUUGGGUUGGGGACAGACCUGCAUCAUUGCUACAGCGAAUAUUCGAAGAAAGUUCCUUGACUUGUGAUUUUGUGACAUUUGUUAUUGUUAUUGUUAUUGUUUUUAUUGUCAUCUUCGUCGUCGUCGUCGUCGUCGUCGUCGUCGUCGUCAUCGUCGUCAUCGUCGUCGUCGUCGUCGUCGUCGUCGUCGUCGUCAUCGUUAUUGUUGUUGUUGUCUUCGUUGUUAUCGUUAUUGUUGUUGUUGUCUUCGUUGUUAUCGCUUUUCUUGACAAAAGAUUUCUUGAAUAUUUUCAAUGUCUUAUCAACAUUUUAUAUACGUUGUUGUUAUUAUUAUUUUCUUUACCUUUUCUUUUUUUCUUUGAUUUUUUAAUUUUCCAUGAAUAUUUCGAUGCUUUAACUUGUUUAAAUGUUGUUGCUAUUAUUACUUUCCUUGAAAAAAGAUUUCUUAAAUAUUUUUUUAAUGUCUUCAAU